rnacentral:rRNA from 1 species
CCCCUAGAUGUUCUGGGCCGCACGCGCGCUACACUGAACAGUUCAACAAGUCUUAACCUUGGCCGAUAGGUCUGGGCAAUCUUUGAACGCUGAUCGUGAUGGGGAUAGACUUUUGCAAUUUUUGGUCUUCAACGAGGAAUUCCUAGUAAACGCAAGUCAUCAACUUGCAUUGAUUACGUCCCUGCCCUUUGUACACACCGCCCGUCGCACCUACCGAUUGAAUGGUCCGGUGAAGCCUCCGGAUUGGCGUGCACCCUCGGGUGCUGCCGAGAAGUUGGCUAAACCUUACCAUUUAGAGGAAGGUGAAGUCGUAACA